rnacentral:rRNA from 1 species
AUUGAACGCUGGCGGCAGGCCUAACACAUGCAAGUCGAACGCGUGGCGGACGGGUGAGUAACGUCUGGGAAACUGCCCGAAGGAGGGGGAUAACUACUGGAACCGGUAGUUAAUACCGCAUACCAUCAGAUGUGCCCAGCUGGGAUUAGCCUGUUGGUGGGGUAACGGCUCACCAAGGCGACGCUCCCUAGCUGGUCUGAGAGGAUGACCAGCCACACUGGAACUGAGACACGGUCCAGCCUCCUACGGGAGGCAGCAGUUGGGAAUAUUGCACAAUGGGCGCAAGCCUGAUGCAGCCAUGCCGCGUGUGUGAAGAAGGCCUUCGGGUUGUAAAGUACUUUCAGCGGGGAGGCGUUACCCACAGAAGAAGCACCGGCUAACUCCGUGCCAGCAGCCGCGGUAAUUC